AAGUGUCCUCUGUUGCCCAAAAUGGUCAGUGUUCCAGAAGUUAAGACUUGCAAAGAGGAGGUCUAUCAUCAAGUUUCAAUUGGGUGUGGUCCCAAGCCAGAAAGAGUAGAAUUCAAACAACCAGAUCAGUGUCAAAAUCACACCGCUGUCGAGUUUAUGUGUCAUGGACACUGGGAAGCAAAGCGGAUAAACUCGUCAGAGGUUGUUGGUUACAUCCUUGGCACACCCUUACGGACAGACAAAGAUAAAUACAUUUGUUUCUCGUACACAAAGAAAAAUGAAGUGUAUAGUCUUCGAGCAACGACUCCAACGUGUUAUGAGUCCAGAGCCUUGUUCACAUUCCAGCUCAAAAGCAAUGGCCACUGCCAGGCUGUCGAGACUCGUUCAGGAAAUGAUAUCGAUGGCGACGGUGAAUCUUGGGAAAGUGCCAACAAAAGCGCAACUCUGGUGAUCUCUGCACUCCAUUUUGUCAUCGCUUACCUACUCAGUAUUCAUAUCAGAUGA
rnacentral:lncRNA from 1 species